rnacentral:tRNA from 1 species
GAGCAAUUAACUCAAUGGUAGAGUAUUUCAUUUACACUGAAAUAGGUAGUGGUUCGAGUCCAUUAUUGCUUA